rnacentral:rRNA from 1 species
UACGAGGGGUCCUAGCGUUGUUCGGAAUUAUUGGGCGUAAAGAGUCUGUAGGCGGUUUUGUAAGUCAGGUGUGAAAGCCCCGGGCUCAACCCGGGAAGUGCAUCUGAUACUGCUUAACUUGAAUGUUGGAGAGGGUAGUGGAAUUCCUGGUGUAGUGGUGAAAUACGUAGAUAUCAGGAGGAACACCGGUGGCGAAGGCGGUUCUCUGGGCAUGUCCUGACGCUGAGGAGCGAAAGUGUGGGGAGCGAACAGG